AGACCCGAAACCCGGUGAUCUAGCCAUGGGCAGGUUGAAGGUUGGGUAACACUAACUGGAGGACCGAACCGACUAAUGUUGAAAAAUUAGCGGAUGACCUGUGGCUGGGGGUGAAAGGCCAAUCAAACCGGGAGAUAGCUGGUUCUCCCCGAAAGCUAUUUAGGUAGCGCCUCGUGAAUUCAUCUCCGGGGGUAGAGCACUGUUUCGGCUAGGGGGCCAUCCCGGCUUACCAACCCGAUGCAAACUGCGAAUACCGGAGAAUGUUAUCACGGGAGACACACGGCGGGUGCUAACGUCCGUCGUGAAGAGGGAAACAACCCAGACCGCCAGCUAAGGUCCCAAAGUCAUGGUUAAGUGGGAAACGAUGUGGGAAGGCCCAGACAGCCAGGAUGUUGGCUUAGAAGCAGCCAUCAUUUAAAGAAAGCGUAAUAGCUCACUGGUCGAGUCGGCCUGCGCGGAAGAUGUAACGGGGCUAAACCAUGCACCGAAGCUGCGGCAGCGAACGUAUCACUUAAAGCGAUUCAGCGGGUUACGAUUGACGGAGCGAAGCGACGUCAAAGCGUAUACAAAGUCGAGUCGGUUUAAGGAUACGUUCGUUGGGUAGGGGAGCGUUCUGUAAGCCUGUGAAGGUGGCCUGUGAGGGUUGCUGGAGGUAUCAGAAGUGCGAAUGCUGACAUAAGUAACGAUAAAGCGGGUGAAAAGCCCGCUCGCCGGAAGACCAAGGGUUCCUGUCCAACGUUAAUCGGGGCAGGGUGAGUCGACCCCUAAGGCGAGGCCGAAAGGCGUAGUCGAUGGGAAACGGGUUAAUAUUCCCGUACUUGGUGUUACUGCGAAGGGGGGACGGAGAAGGCUAUGUUGGCCGGGCGACGGUUGUCCCGGUUUAAGCGUGUAGGUGUGUGUUCCAGGUAAAUCCGGUUCACUUUAACACUGAGGCGUGACGACGAGGCACUACGGUGCUGAAGCAACAAAUGCCCUGCUUCCAGGAAAAGCCUCUAAGCAUCAGGUAACAUCAAAUCGUACCCCAAACCGACACAGGUGGUCAGGUAGAGAAUACCAAGGCGCUUGAGAGAACUCGGGUGAAGGAACUAGGCAAAAUGGUGCCGUAACUUCGGGAGAAGGCACGCUGACACGUAGGUGAAGUGAUUUACUCAUGGAGCUGAAGUCAGUCGAAGAUACCAGCUGGCUGCAACUGUUUAUUAAAAACACAGCACUGUGCAAACACGAAAGUGGACGUAUACGGUGUGACGCCUGCCCGGUGCCGGAAGGUUAAUUGAUGGGGUCAGCGCAAGCGAAGCUCCUGAUCGAAGCCCCGGUAAACGGCGGCCGUAACUAUAACGGUCCUAAGGUAGCGAAAUUCCUUGUCGGGUAAGUUCCGACCUGCACGAAUGGCGUAAUGAUGGCCAGGCUGUCUCCACCCGAGACUCAGUGAAAUUGAACUCGCUGUGAAGAUGCAGUGUACCCGCGGCAAGACGGAAAGACCCCGUGAACCUUUACUAUAGCUUGACACUGAACAUUGAGCCUUGAUGUGUAGGAUAGGUGGGAGGCUUUGAAGUGUGGACGCCAGUCUGCAUGGAGCCGACCUUGAAAUACCACCCUUUAAUGUUUGAUGUUCUAACGUGGACCCGUUA
rnacentral:rRNA from 1 species